CCCACUAUCUUCAUCAACAAUGUGUUCCUUCUCAAGGAACACCGCUCACUUAGCUAUAAAGACCUUUUCAUCCUCAGGAUGUUAGAAAUAAUACCCAUAAGUUUCCUUGAGGUAUCCCACAAACUUGCAUCGCUCCAUACUCGAUUCCAACAUAUCGGGGUUGUGUCUUUUAACGUGGGCAGGGCAGUUCCAAAUCUUAAAAACCUUAAGAUCGGGCCUUUUCCAUUUCCAUAUCUCAUAUGGUG
rnacentral:lncRNA from 1 species